GACGAACGCUGGCGGCGUGCCUAACACAUGCAAGUCGAACGGAGUUCAUUGGAUUGAGGCUUCGGCCAAAUGAAUUUGAACUUAGUGGCGAACGGGUGAGUAACGCGUGAGCAACCUGCCUUUCAGAGGGGGACAACAGUUGGAAACGACUGCUAAUACCGCAUAACACAUCGAGGGGGCAUCCCCAUGAUGUCAAAGAUUUAUCGCUGAAAGAUGGGCUCGCGUCUGAUUAGAUAGUUGGUGAGGUAACGGCUCACCAAGUCGACGAUCAGUAGCCGGACUGAGAGGUUGAACGGCCACAUUGGGACUGAGAUACGGCCCAG
rnacentral:rRNA from 1 species